rnacentral:lncRNA from 13 species
CUCAGAUGUGCCCAGUUUGCUCUUACUGCUGAAAAAGCCUCAUCUUGGCCUCAGGUUGUAGCCAGGUCAUGAUGAUCUGAAGAUGUUUGUACCCCUAAACUGCAAUAGCUUGAAGUGCUACCAGACCACAGAUCUUCUAGUGCUCUACAGAUGGAGAAAAAGAUGAUGCAUAUUUUCCCUUUCUGAAGAAUGUUCCAAGCAGAGCAUGAACUGCCCUUGUAAAUGCAUUUCAGGUUGUCAGUGUGCUGUCAUACAUGGCUCUGAUGGAAAGGUGAGCUUGAGGCCCUGACUGGGGCACGUGGCAGCAACCUACUCCGGACAAGGGCCAGCCCUGCCAUCCCCAAGCACCAGCACCCUCAUCACUCGCUGGCUGAUAUUAGUGACAUUAAGAGAUUGUGCUCAGUUUUGACACACAGAUGAAGUGCAUGCCAGUGGACCUCUAGCUAGCCAUUAUCAUUCCUCUCUAAGUUUAGGUCUAGACUGCAACAGCUAGUGAAAGGAGGGUACUCGUACCUUCACAAAGAACAAGAACUCAGGCUGAAGACAUUUGCAUGUCUGAUGGCACAGAACUAUAGUCAUGGCUGAGCACCCACAGUUCAACAAUCCAAUACUCACUUUUUAAAUUAAGGGAUACCUCCUUCACAGCUAGAUCAGGUACAGCACACUGUGUUAAAAAAAUUGGAUG